rnacentral:rRNA from 1 species
GACGAACGCUGGCGGCGUGCUUAACACAUGCAAGUCGAACGGAAAGGCCCUGCUUUUGUGGGUUGCUCGAGUGGCGAACGGGUGUGUAACACGUGAGUAACCUGCCCUUGACUUUGGGAUAACUUCAGGAAACUGGGGCUAAUACCGGAUAGGAGCUCCUGCUGCAUGGUGGGGGUUGGAAAGUUUCGGCGGUUGGGGAUGGACUCGCGGCUUAUCAGCUUGUUGGUGGGGUAGUGGCUUACCAAGGCUUUGACGGGUAGCCGGCCUGAGAGGGUGACCGGCCACAUUGGGACUGAGAGACGGCCCAGACUCCUACGGGAGGCAGCAGUGGGGAAUAUGGCACAAUGGGCGGAAGCCUGAUGCAGCAACGCCGCGUGCGGGAUGACGGCCUUCGGGUUGUAAACCGCUUUCGCCUGUGACGAAGCGUGAGUGACGGUAAUGGGUAAAGAAGCACCGGCUAACUACGUG